UACGUAGGUGGCAAGCGUUGUCCGGAUUUAUUGGGUUUAAAGGGUGCGUAGGUGGCCCUGUAAGUCAGUGGUGAAAUAUCUCAGCUUAACUGGGAGGGUGCCAUUGAUACUGCAGGGCUUGAGUACAGAUGAGGUAGGCGGAAUUGACGGUGUAGCGGUGAAAUGCAUAGAUAUCGUCAAGAACACCGAUAGCGAAGGCAGCUUACCAAGCUGUAACUGACACUGAGGCACGAAAGUGUGGGGAUCAAACAGG
rnacentral:rRNA from 1 species